rnacentral:rRNA from 1 species
UACGGGGGGAGCAAGCGUUGUUCGGAUUUACUGGGCGUAAAGGGCGCGUAGGCGGCGCAACAAGUCACUUGUGAAAUCUCCGGGCUUAACCCGGAGCGGCCAAGUGAUACUGUCGUGCUAGAGUGCGGAAGGGGCUACUGGAAUUCUCGGUGUAGCGGUGAAAUGCGUAGAUAUCGAGAGGAACACCUGCGGCGGAGGCGGGUAGGCGGGCCGACACUGACGCUGAGGCGCGAAAGCCAGGGGAGCGAACGGG